UACGUAGGGUGCAAGCGUUAAUCGGAAUUACUGGGCGUAAAGCGUGCGCAGGCGGUUUUGUAAGUCUGUCGUGAAAUCCCCGGGCUCAACCUGGGAAUUGCGAUGGAGACUGCAAGGCUAGAAUCUGGCAGAGGGGGGUAGAAUUCCACGUGUAGCAGUGAAAUGCGUAGAGAUGUGGAGGAACACCAGUGGCGAAGGCGGCGAGCUGGUCCAUUACUGACGCUGAGGCGCGACAGCGUGGGGAGCAAACAGG
rnacentral:rRNA from 1 species